rnacentral:rRNA from 1 species
UACGGGGGGUGCGAGCGUUGUCCGGAAUCACUGGGCGUAAAGGGCGCGUAGGUGGCGUGAUAAGGGUGUGGUGAAAGCCCGGGGCUCAACCCCGGGUCUGCCAUGCCGACUGUCAGGCUAGAGUACUGUAGGGGCAGGCGGAAUUCCGGGUGUAGCGGUGGAAUGCGUAGAGAUCCGGAGGAAGACCGGUGGCGAAGGCGGCCUGCUGGGCAGUACUGGACACUGAGGCGCGACAGCGUGGGGAGCAACAGG